CCCUACGGGGGGCAGCAGUGGGGAAUAUCGCACAAUGGGGGAAACCCUGAUGCAGCGACGCCGCGUGAGUGAAGAAGUAUUUCGGUAUGUAAAGCUCUAUCAGCAGGGAAGAUAAUGACGGUACCUGACUAAGAAGCCCCGGCUAACUACGUGCCAACAGCCGCGGUAAUACGUAGGGGGCGAGCGUUGUCCGGAAUUACUGGGUGUAAAGGGAGUGUAGGCGGGAAAGCAAGUCAGCAG
rnacentral:rRNA from 1 species